rnacentral:rRNA from 2 species
GGGGGGACGCAGUAGGAUAGGCGAAGCGUGCUGUUGGAGUGCACGUCCAAGCAGUAAGGCUGAGUGUUAGGCAAAUCCGGCACUCGUUAGGCUGAGCUGUGAUGGGGAGAGGAAAUUGUUUCCUCGAGUCGUUGAUUUCACACUGCCGAGAAAAGCCUCUAGAUAGAUAACAGGUGCCCGUACCGCAAACCGACACAGGUAGUCAAGAUGAGAAUUCUAAGGUGAGCGAGCGAACUCUCGUUAAGGAACUCGGCAAAAUGACCCCGUAACUUCGGGAGAAGGGGUGCUCUUUAGGGUUCACGCCCAGAAGAGCCGCAGUGAAUAGGCCCAAGCGACUGUUUAUCAAAAACACAGGUCUCUGCUAAACCGUAAGGUGAUGUAUAGGGGCUGACGCCUGCCCGGUGCUGGAAGGUUAAGAGGAGUGGUUAGCUUCUGCGAAGCCACGAAUCGAAGCCCCAGUAAACGGCGGCCGUAACUAUAACGGUCCUAAGGUAGCGAAAUUCCUUGUCGGGUAAGUUCCGACCCGCACGAAAGGCGUAACGAUUUGGGCACUGUCUCAACGAGAGACUCGGUGAAAUCAUAGUACCUGUGAAGAUGCAGGUUACCCGCGACAGGACGGAAAGACCCCGUGGAGCUUUACUGUAGCCUGAUAUUGAAAUUCGGCACAGCUUGUACAGGAUAGGUAGGAGCCAUUGAAACGUGAGCGCUAGCUUACGUGGAGGCGUUGGUGGGAUACUACCCUAGCUGUGUUGGCUUUCUAACCCGCACCACUUAUCGUGGUGGGAGACAGUGUCAGGCGGGCAGUUUGACUGGGGCGGUCGCCUCCUAAAAGGUAACGGAGGCGCUCAAAGGUUCCCUCAGAAUGGUUGGAAAUCAUUCACAGAGUGUAAAGGCAUAAGGGAGCUUGACUGCGAGACCUACAAGUCGAGCAGGGUCGAAAGACGGACUUAGUGAUCCGGUGGUUCCGCAUGGAAGGGCCAUCGCUCAACGGAUAAAAGCUACCCCGGGGAUAACAGGCUUAUCUCCCCCAAGAGUUCACAUCGACGGGGAGGUUUGGCACCUCGAUGUCGGCUCAUCGCAUCCUGGGGCUGUAGUCGGUCCCAAGGGUUGGGCUGUUCGCCCAUUAAAGCGGUACGCGAGCUGGGUUCAGAACGUCGUGAGACAGUUCGGUCCCUAUCCGUCGUGGGCGUAGGAAAUUUGAGAGGAGCUGUCCUUAGUACGAGAGGACCGGGAUGGACAUACCUCUGGUGUACCAGUUGUCGUGCCAACGGCAUAGCUGGGUAGCUAUGUAUGGACGGGAUAAGUGCUGAAAGCAUCUAAGCAUGAAGCCCCCCUCAAGAUGAGAUUUCCCAACUUCGGUUAUAAGAUCCCUCGAAGAUGACGAGGUUAAUAGGUUCGAGGUGGAAGCGUGGUGACACGUGGAGCUGACGAAUACUAAUCGAUCGAAGACUUAAUCAAUAUU